rnacentral:rRNA from 1 species
AGAACGAACGCUGGCGGCAUGCCUAAUACAUGCAAGUCGAACGAACUCUUCGGAGUUAGUGGCGCACGGGUGCGUAACGCGUGGGAAUCUGCCCCUUGGUUCGGAAUAACAGUUGGAAACGACUGCUAAUACCGGAUGAUGACGAAAGUCCAAAGAUUUAUCGCCAAGGGAUGAGCCCGCGUAGGAUUAGCUAGUUGGUGAGGUAAAGGCUCACCAAGGCAACGAUCCUUAGCUGGUCUGAGAGGAUGAUCAGCCACACUGGGACUGAGACACGGGCCCAGACUCCUACGGGAGGCAGCAGUAGGGAAUAUUGGACAAUGGGCGAAAGCCUGAUCCAGCAAUGCCGCGUGAGUGAUGAA